ensembl:snoRNA SNORD9 small nucleolar RNA, C/D box 9
CCCCUGUGGUGAGUUGCCAUUCUAGUACUGCAACACCACAUAGGGGGUUUUUUCCUGCAUUGGGUGUUGUUGAGAUAAACCCUACUUGUCUUACAGCUACCUGAGGGGC